rnacentral:rRNA from 1 species
UGGGGAAUAUUGCACAAUGGGGGAAACCCUGAUGCAGCGACGCCGCGUGAAUGAAGAAGGUAUUCGUAUCGUAAAGUUCUGACCUAUGGGAAGAUAAUGACAGUACCAUAGAAGAAAGCUCCGGCUAAAUACGUGCCAGCAGCCGCGGUAAUACGUAUGGAGCGAGCGUUGUCCGGAAUUAUUGGGCGUAAAGGGUACGCAGGCGGUUUAAUAAGGCGAAGGUUAAAGAUCGGGGCUCAACCCCGUAAAGCAUUCGAAACUGAUAAACUGGAGUAGUGGAGAGGAAAGUGGAAUUCAUAGUGCAGUGGUGAAAUACGUAGAUAUUAGGAGGAAUACCAGUAGGGAAGGCGACUUUCUGGACACAAAAUGACGCUGAGGUACGAAAGCGUGGGGAGCAAACAGG